GGCAACUUAUGCCCAGUUUUGCUCUAACUGUUCCGAGAAUUGGUAGCGAGGAAUGUUGAUAAGGCUAGCGGAACUUUAGUCCAUUCUACGACGGCCAGCGUGGUACGGCUAUCGGUACUGAAGGUACUGAACGUACUGAAUGUGUAGGAGUAGAGGAGUUCAGUAAGUUCAGUACGCAGGCGGCAUGUACGUAAGUGUACGGGUAGCAGUGUGUGUAGUGUAGUUGAUGUGUGUAAUAAAUUUUAACAUGGAUGGAAAAAAGAAAAGAAAAAUUGACGAUGAAUACCAUGCGUUUAAUGAAGAAUGGGGGCAAAAUAUUUUUUCAUACAAUCGAAUUCAAAGGAUAAAGCUGUAUGUCUGAUAUGUAAAGAUACUAUUGCUGUGUUGAAAGAAUACAAUAUACGUCGUCACUAUGACACGAAGCAUGCUUCAACGUUUUCACAAUUUAAAGAAAAGCAGCGUUCAGAUAAAUUUGAAUCAUUUCGUUGUUGUUUGCAUUCUCAGCAAGACUUAUUUACGAAAGCAACAUCAGAAAAUGAAGCCUUAACCUUGGUAAGCUAUAAGGUUGCUUAUGUGUUGGCUAAAAAUGGAAAACCAUUCACUGAUGGUAAUAUCAUCAAAGAGUGUAUGCUGGAAGCAGUGACUGAGUUGCGCCCCGAAAAACUUAAUCUUUUUAAAAUGAUAAGUCUUGCACCAAAUACUGUUGCUCGUUGGAUUGAAAAUAUGGGAAAUAAUAUUGUCCAGCAAA